UCCCUGGUGGCUCAGACAGUAAAGAAUCUGCCUGCAAUGCAGGAAACCCAGGUUCGAUCCCUGGGUUGGGAA
rfam:Ovis aries breed Texel chromosome 16, whole genome shotgun sequence.